rnacentral:rRNA from 1 species
UACGGGGGGGGCAAGCGUUGUUCGGAAUUAUUGGGCGUAAAGGGCUCGUAGGCGGCCAACUAAGUCGGACGUGAAAUCCCCAGGCUCAACCUGGGAACUGCGUCCGAUACUGGAUGGCUUGAAUUCGGGAGAGGGAUGCAGAAUUCCAGGUGUAGCGGUGAAAUGCGUAGAUAUCUGGAGGAAUACCGGUGGCGAAGGCGGCAUCCUGGACCGACAUUGACGCUGAUGAGCGAAAGCUAGGGGAGCAAACGGG